GACGAACGCUGGCGGCGUGCUUAACACAUGCAAGUCGAACGGAAAGGCCCUGCUUUUGUGGGGUGCUCGAGUGGCGAACGGGUGAGUAACACGUGAGUAACCUGCCCUUGACUUUGGGAUAACUUCAGGAAACUGGGGCUAAUACCGGAUAGGAGCUCCUGCUGCAUGGUGGGGGUUGGAAAGUUUCGGCGGUUGGGGAUGGACUCGCGGCUUAUCAGCUUGUUGGUGGGGUAGUGGCUUACCAAGGCUUUGACGGGUAGCCGGCCUGAGAGGGUGACCGGCCACAUUGGGGCUGAGAUACGGCCCAGACUCCUACGGGAGGCAGCAGUGGGGAAUAUUGCACAAUGGGCGGAAGCCUGAUGCAGCAACGCCGCGUGCGGGAUGACGGCCUUCGGGUUGUAAACCGCUUUCGCCUGUGACGAAGCGUGAGUGGCGGUAAUGGGUAAAGAAGCACCGGCUAACUACGUG
rnacentral:rRNA from 1 species